UGUCCUGCCAAGGGCAUGGCUGGGUAGCUAUGUACGGAAUGGAUAAGCGCUGAAAGCAUCUAAGCGCGAAGCCAACUUCAAGAUAAGAUUUCCCACCGCAAGGGUAAGACCCCAGAAAGACUAUCUGGUUGAUAGGUCGAAGGUGUAAGUGCAGCAAUGUAUUUAGCUUAUCGAUACUAAUAGGUCGAGGACUUGACCAA
rnacentral:rRNA from 1 species